ensembl:lncRNA
AGAGAGUUUGAUAUCUACAACGUUUCAACAUGGCAGAUGAAAAGGUGAAGAAGUCAGAGGGCAAACAGGUGGAGGGAAUCUUUGGGUUUGGAAAGAAGGAUAAAGACAAGGAAAAGAGCAAAGACAAGUGUGAUUCUAAGGAUAAAGAUAAGCACAAAGAACACAAAGAUAAAGAACAUAAAGACAAAGACAAGAAGAAGAAGAAAGACAAGGAGCACAAGAAGAAGGACGGUGACAAGUCCUCGUCUUCCUCCAGCGAUUCGGUAACUCUUUUGCUUUUUUAACACAUCAUUUUAAUACACAUACUGUAUUAAUGCAUAGGUUCGGUUUGAAGGCAUCGAUAUGAGGAGCAAAGUUUAAGUUGGGAGUGAGUUAUUUUGCAUUUAUUAGCAUUAAUUAUGUGUGUGAACCCAGCAGAUAGACACAAUGACCAAAGAAAGCAGGGUUGGGCUCCAUAAAGGCCAUGAUAGUGGCGUCUCGUAAAACCGGUUGAGCUCGAGGUGUGGUCCAGCUGAACGGCUGUAAAGCGUUUUAAAUGGGCAGAGACUUGAUUCUUCAGGGUCUCCUGGAAAGUUUAGCUGUGAUUUCUUCCCAUCCCACGCUGCAUUCUUGCAGUUAGACGUCACUUAUCACUCUGAUAUCACACAUUUAGAGACACACCCGAUGAGGAAUGUCCAAAAAAACUGCUUUAUUUAGACCCAGAUAAGAUCUUUGUGUAAACACACCAAACAGUAUUCUAGAACGUUGUUUAAGCAAAACAAUAACCUGUUUAGUGAGUACAGAUAAGGUCAGUGGAGGGAAACAAAUCCUGGUUACCAUAGUAUCACCUGCACUUCUAUAGGGAAAGUAGUUCAAAGAGGAUUUUUUAAAAAGGUAGUUGAUACAUUGGUAUUUUAAAUAAAAAUGUAUCAACUAUAUAAAUAUUUCCA